UUUUGCAGUCUACCUGCAAAUGCUGUCUGCAUUUACCUGCUUGAUAUCCAGAGCAGAGAAUAUUUGUGACAAACCAGAGAUCUAAGUUGUGACUCAAACAAAAAAAGGUUCUGAGGUAGAAAUCCUAGCACUGAAGGAAGAAUCACCAAUGAUGGCAAUGAUGGAAUCUUUAGUAACCAGAAAAGAAAGUUUGUACGUGAAGGGCUGCAAAUCAUGUUUAUGUUCUGGGAGGAUAUAUGUUCUUCUUCAGUUUCUGAAGAGCCAGAAAAUAUGGAUUGUUCUUUUGGAAGUUCAUUCUAUUCCUUAUUCCACCUUCAAAUGCAGCUGGCUAAUGCUGUGUGGAUGUUCAGCUGUUUCCUCUGGGAGGGACUCCUCUCUCUAACCAAGUCAUGCAAAAGUUUGACAGAAAACAUGAAAUAAAAUACUACCUAGUUUGUUACCA